GGCGCUAUAGUGUAGUGGUUAUCACUUGGGAUUCUGAUCACAGUGUUCCCAAAACCCAGGUUCGAGCCCUGGUAGCGCCU
rnacentral:tRNA from 1 species